UAGUAGCAUAUACUAAAGUUGCUGCGUUUAAAAAGCUCGUAGUUGAAUGUCAGGUACGGGACAUGCGGUCAGUGCUAACACUGUACGGCAUGUUCCACCUAAUCAGUCGAUUGAUAUCAUUAGUGCUGUUCAUUCAGUGCUUUUGGUACUCGGCACGUUUACUUUGAAAAAAUUAGAGUGCUCAAAGCAGGCCUUGUGCUUGAAUACUGUUGCAUGGAAUAAUGGAAUAGGACUUCGGUUCUAUUUUGUUGGUUUUCUGAACUGAAGUAAUGAUUAAAAGAGACAGACGGGGGCAUCUGAAUGGCGACGUUAGAGGUGAAAUUCGAUGAUCGUUGCCAGUCAAACUACUGCGAAAGCAUUUGCCAAGGAUGUUUUCAUUAAUCAAGAACGAAAGUCAGAGGUU
rnacentral:rRNA from 1 species